rnacentral:rRNA from 1 species
CCUACGGGAGGCAGCAGUGGGGAAUCUUGCGCAAUGGGCGAAAGCCUGACGCAGCCAUGCCGCGUGAAUGAUGAAGGUCUUCGGGUCGUAAAGCUCUGUCAGAGGGGAAGAAAUGCAGGUGGUGAACAACCAUUCUGUUUGACGGUACCCUCAAAGGAAGCACCGGCUAACUCCGUGCCAGCAGCCGCGGUAAUACGGAGGGUGCGAGCGUUGUUCGGAAUUAUUGGGCGUAAAGCGCGUGUAGGCGGUUUGUUAAGUCUGAGGUGAAAGCCCCGGGCUCAACCUGGGAAGUGCAUUGGAUACUGGCAGACUUGAGUACGGGAGAGGAGAGUGGAAUUCCCAGUGUAGGGGUGAAAUCCGUAGAUAUUGGGAGGAACACCGGUGGCGAAGGCGGCUCUCUGGACCGAUACUGACGCUGAGACGCGAAAGCGUGGGGAGCAAACAGGAUUAGAUCCCCUGGUAGU